GUAAAACACUGACGGUCAUAACACAAAAAAAAGUAUCUUAAAAUGCAAUGUUUUGGACCUCUCUUCAAAGCUGAGUCAUUGACCAAAAAAAAAAAAAAAAGCUGAGUCAGCCAUUCCAAAACAACACAAAGUGAUAUCUAGUUGUUUCCUCAAUGACUGGAAAAGCAAGAGAUUGUGUUGUUUCCACGUCCUAAAGUGAGCACGUGUAGUGUCACCUGGCAUACUCUGUACCACAGCUGAUGCAUUUUGACCCCAUUAACUUAACUGCCACUCUUGACUUUCAUUCAUGAGCCAUAAACCCUGGAAGUUUCUUAUUCUCUUAUAAGAAUAUUUCAAACAUAUUCAAAUUUUAGGUUGAUCAUGAUAUCCUUCAGAAGACUCAUAACCGUUUUUAGUUGCACUUAACUUUCCAAAAUUUACUGAAAAAGGUUUGUUGGGUGCAAAAGUUACCUUUGAGGGUACAUGAUAAGGGUGUUGGAGUAUCAUUAAUAACUUCUUAUACCUGUAAAACCAUCAGUUGGUGACCACUUCACAACUUGAAGCACAUGGUUGAUGUUUUUCCAUAGCCCUGGCUUCUUUUUCUUUAGCCCUUACUACAGCACCAUCAGCAUACGGGCACUUGCAAAUUCUCCAUAUUUACAAUACAAGUUUAUUAACCCAGUUUCAAAAUACUCAUAGAUUUGCAAUCCAAUCUUCACACCGAGUGAAUGAACCUGCUUUCCAAACUCAAUGGCAAAGGAUUGGCACACUGCUUUGAGAACAAUUGGGAGGGUGUAGCGAUCAGGCAAAACCCCAGCUUGCAGAAUCAAAACAUGGACAUGGAGUGCAUUGCGUGGAGUGUCUAGCCUGGUGUAGCACCUUAUGAUGUUGUUCCAGUUAAAGGGGGAAGGAUUUGGUACCAGUGACAGGGGCAACAAAGUAACAUCAAUAACACAGUUUUAUUUUUGUAAUUCACGAUCAGAUGACCUCAAGAAUAGGGAAAGUUCAGAAAUGGUGGGAAAAUGGUCUUCAACCAAACAUGAGAGAGGUGACUUCGGCAGAAGACCUUGUUGACUCACUUUUGAACGCGGGGGAUAAGCUUGUGAUUGUUGAUUUUGCGAGCUUGCUGGGAGGGAUGAGAGAGUGGCCAUGGUGGUGGUAAGGGGGUCGAUCCAGAAAGAGGUGGAUGUGGGAUUGCUUUUGAUUAGGAAGAUGAAGAUUUCUGGGAUGGAUCUGAGGUGAUGAAGGUUGCAGGUUGAGGAAGAUGAAGGAAAAAUCCAUCAAGGAUUAAAUUGAAGCAUUUCAAACUUUCCCAACGUUGCAACUCAAUCUUCCGUUAACGUCCGUUUGUGUUUUUUAACGUCAAGGACUAAAGUGACGGACGUUUGACACUUUGGGGGACUGCGAGGUGAAUAAAAUUCAUUCAGGGACGAAUGUGAAGUCGGUUGACACUUUUGAGGACCAAAGUGACCAUUUACCCUGCAGUUAAAAUUUGCCAUGUUGAAAAGUUUUGUCCUCCUCCAGUAGGAUCUUCCACUAUCAGUAUGUGUAUUACGGUUAAAAAGGAACACAUCAGAUUUUGAUGGUUGUGAUUUUCAUCGAAGAAGAAAUUUCUCCCUCAUGGAGGACAAAAAUUGAAUUAGGCCCUUUCUUACAUUUUGAUUUCACAAAUAAAAUUUGAACCUUCAAUUAAUGUGUUCAGGACUUAAAAUGUAUAAUUAUAAAGGAUAGGCAUUAGACAAAACUGGGGGUCUUUUCUAAAUGUAGCUAGGAAUCACAAAAGCAGGAUCUUUUCUGCAUGUACUGCCUUAUCUUAUUGUAAUUCAGGUUGAUGUAAGCAAAUGAACUUUUUCCCUCUUUACUUUGUCAAAUAAGAGUAAA